UCCUACGGGAGGCAGCAGUAGGGAAUUUUCCGCAAUGGACGAAAGUCUGACGGAGCAACSCCGCGUGAGUGACGAAGGCYUUCGGGUCGUAAAGCUYUGUUGUUAGGGAAGAACAAGUMCCGUUCGAAUAGGGCGGUACCUUGACGGUACCUAACCAGAAASCCACGGCUAACUACGUSCCAGCAGCCGCGGUAAUAYGUAGGUSGCAAGCGUUGUCCGGAAUUAUUGGGCGUAAAGCGCGCGCAGGCGGYCUUUUAAGUSUGAUGUGAAAGCCCRCGGCUCAACCGUGGAGGGUCAUUGGAAACUGGAGGACUUGAGUGCARAARAGGARAGUGGAAUUCCACGUGUAGCGGUGAAAUGCGUARAUAUGUGGAGGMACMCCAGUGGCRAAGGCGKCUCUCUGGUCUGUAACUGACGCURAGGCGCGAAAGCGUGGGGAGCAMACAGGAUUARAUMCCCUGGUAGUCCACGCCGUAAACRAUGAGUGCUAGGUGUUGGGGGGUUCCACCCUCAGUGCUGAAGYUAACACAUUAAGCACUCCCCCUGGGGAGUACAACCGCAAGGUUGAAACUCAAAGGAAUUGACGG
rnacentral:rRNA from 1 species